rnacentral:rRNA from 1 species
AUUGAACGCUGGCGGCAUGCUUUACACAUGCAAGUCGAACGGGGUGAGGGGGCAACUCUUCAUCUAGUGGCGAACGGGUGAGUAAUGCAUCGGAACGUGCCCCGUAGCGGGGGAUAACCCGGCGAAAGCCGGACUAAUACCGCAUAUGCUCUACGGAGGAAAGCAGGGGAUCCGCGAGGACCUUGCACUAUGGGAGCGGCCGAUGUCCGAUUAGCUUGUUGGUGGGGUAAUGGCCUACCAAGGCGACGAUCGGUAGCUGGUCUGAGAGGAUGAUCAG